rnacentral:rRNA from 1 species
UCCUGCCUGCCCUGUGACACUUAGUUUAACGGCCGCGGUAUUUUGACCGUGCAAAGGUAGCGAAAUCACUUGUCUAUUAAAUGUAGACCUGUAUGAAUGGCAAAACGAGGGCUUAACUGUCUCCUUUCUCAAGUCAAUGAAAUUGAUCUCCCCGUGCAGAAGCGGGGAUUGACCCAUAAGACGAGAAGACCCUAUGGAGCUUUAGAUGAUAGAAUAGCUCACGUUAAGAACCCCCUGACAAGGGGCUAAACAUAAUGAACCCUACUCUUAUAUCUUUGGUUGGGGCGACCGCGGAGAAAUAAAUAACCUCCACGUGGAAAAGUAAUACAAUUACUUCACCCAAGAGUGACAGCUCUCAUGAACAGAACUUCUGACCUAAAGAUCCGGUAACACCGAUCAACGAACCGAGUUACCCUAGGGAUAACAGCGCAAUCCCCUUUUAGAGCCCAUAUCGACAAGGGGGUUUACGACCUCGAUGUUGGAUCAG